rnacentral:rRNA from 1 species
UGCAAGUCGAACGGAAACAUGUCUAGCUUGCUAGAUGAUGUCGAGUGGCGGACGGGUGAGUAAUACUUAGGAACAUGCCUUUGGGUGGGGGAUAACUAUUGGAAACGAUAGCUAAUACCGCAUAACGUCUACGGACCAAAGGGGGGAGCUUGCUCCUCUCGCCCAAAGAGUGGCCUAAGCGAGAUUAGCUUGUUGGUGAGGUAAAGGCUCACCAAGGCGACGAUCUCUAGCUGUUCUGAGAGGAAGAUCAGCCACACUGGGACUGAGACACGGCCCAGACUCCUACGGGAGGCAGCAGUGGGGAAUAUUGCACAAUGGAGGAAACUCUGAUGCAGCCAUGCCGCGUGUGUGAAGAAGGCCUUCGGGUUGUAAAGCACUUUCAGUUGUGAGGAAAGCUUGAUGGUUAAUACCCAUCAGGUAUGACGUUAGCAACAGAAGAAGGACCGGCUAACUCCGUGCCAGCGGCCGCGG